rnacentral:tRNA from 1 species
UGGGCAGUAGCUCAGUGGUAGAGCUCCCGCUUCAUAUGCGGAAGACCUGGGUUGGACUCUCGGCUGCUUAC